rnacentral:piRNA from 1 species
UACGAUGUACAUAUAUACAGGCAGGUAGA